UUGCGACUAAAGUUGAUGUUUUUGGUCAAAGUUGGUGGAAACUCCAGGUUUGCGACUAAAGUUGAUGUUUUUGGUCAAAGUUGGUGGAAACUCGAGGUUUGCGACUAAAGUUGAUGUUUUUGGUCAAAGUUGGUGGAAACUGGAAGUUUGCUACCAAAGAUGAUGAUUUCGGUCAAAGUUGAUGUUUUUGGUCAAAGUUUUUGGAAACUGGAAGUUUGCAACCAAAGAUGAUGAUUUCGGUCAAAGUUGAUGUUUUUGGUCAAAGUUGGUGGAAACUGGAAGUUUGCAACCAAAGAUGAUGAUAUCGGUCAAAGUAGAUGUUUUUGGUCAAAGUUGGUGGAAACUGGAAGUUUGCAACCAAAGAUGAUGAUUUCGGUCAAAGUAGAUGUUUUUGGUCAAAGUUGGAGGAGACUGGAAGUUUGCAACCAAAGAUGAUGAUUUCGGUCAAAGUUGAUUUUUUUGGUCAAAGUUGGUGGAAACUGGAAGUUUGCUACCAAAGAUGAUGAUUUCGGUCAAAGUAGAUGUUUUUGGUCAAAGUUGGUGGAAACUGGAAGUUUGCAACCAAAGAUGAUGAUUUCGGUCAAAGUAGAUGUUUUUGGUCAAAGUUGGUGGAAACUGGAAGUUUGCAACCAAAGAUGAUGAUUUCGGUCAAAGUUGAUGUUUUUGGUCAAAGUUGGUGGAAACUGGAAGUUUGCAACCAAAGAUGAUGAUUUCGGUCAAAGUAGAUGUUUUUGGUCAAAGUUGGUGGAAACUGGAAGUUUGCAACCAAAGAUGAUGAUUUCGGUCAAAGUAGAUGUUUUUGGUCAAAGUUGGUGGAAACUGGAAGUUUGCAACCAAAGAUGAUGAUUUCGGUCAAAGUAGAUGUUUUUGGUCAAAGUUGGUGGAAACUGGAAGUUUGCAACCAAAGAUGAUGAUUUCGGUCAAAGUAGAUGUUUUUGGUCAAAGUUGAUGGAAACUCGAGGUUUGCGACUAAAGUUGAUGAUUUCGGUCAAAGUAGAUUUUUUUGGUCAAAGUUUGUGGAAACUGGAAGUUUGCAACCAAAGAUGAUGGUUUCGGUCAAAGUUGAUGUUUUUGGUCAAAGUUGGUGGAAACUGGAAGUUUGCAACCAAAGAUAAUGAUUUCGGUCAAAGUUGAUGUUUUUGGUCAAAGUUGGUGGAAACUCGAGGUUUGCGACUAAAGUUGAUGUUUUUGGUCAAAGUUGGUGGAAACUCGAGGUUUGCGACUAAAGUUGAUGUUUUUGGUCAAAGUUGGUGGAAACUCGAGGUUUGCGACUAAAGUUGAUGUUUUUGGUCAAAGUUGGUGGAAACUCGAGGUUUGCGACUAAAGUUGAUGUUUUUUUUCAAAGUUGGUGGAAACUGGAAGCUUGCCACCAAAGAUGAUGAUUUCGGUCAAAGUUGAUGUUUUUGGUCAAAGUUUUUGGAAACUGGAAGUUUGCGACCAAAGUUGAUGAUUUCGGUCAAAGUUGAUGUUUUUGGUCAAAGUUGGUGGAAACUGGAAGUUUGCAACCAAAGUUGAUGUUUUCGGUCAAAGUUGAUGUUUUUGGUCAAAGUUGGUGGAAACUGGAAGUUUGCAACCAAAGAUGAUGAUUUCGGUCAAAGUAGAUGUUUUUGGUCAAAGUUGGUGGAAACUGGAAGUUUGCAACCAAAGAUGAUGAUUUCGGUCACAGUUGAUGUUUUUGGUCAAAGUUGGUGGAAACUCGAGGUUUGCGACUAAAGUUGAUGUUUUUGGUCAAAGUUGGUGGAAACUCGAGGUUUGCGACUAAAGUUGAUGUUUUUGGUCAAAGUUGGUGGAAACUGGAAGUUUGCUACCAAAGAUGAUGAUUUCGUUAAAAGUUGAUGUUUUUGGUCAAAGUUUUUGGAAACUGGAAGUUUGCAACCAAAGAUGAUGAUUUCGGUCAAAGUUGAUGUUUUUGGUCAAAGUUGGUGGAAACUGGAAGUUUGCAACCAAAGAUGAUGAUAUCGGUCAAAGUAGAUGUUUUUGGUCAAAGUUGGUGGAAACUGGAAGUUUGCAACCAAAGAUGAUGAUUUCGGUCAAAGUAGAUGUUUUUGGUCAAAGUUGGAGGAGACUGGAAGUUUGCAACCAAAGAUGAUGA